rnacentral:rRNA from 1 species
CCUACGGGGGGCAGCAGUGGGGAAUAUUGGACAAUGGGGGCAACCCUGAUCCAGCCAUGCCGCGUGUGUGAAGAAGGCCCUCGGGUUGUAAAGCACUUUCAGUGAGGAAGAACGCCUGGUGGUUAAUACCCAUCAGGAAAGACAUCACUCACAGAAGAAGCACCGGCUAACUCCGUGCCAGCAGCCGCGGUAAUACGGAGGGUGCGAGCGUUAAUCGGAAUUACUGGGCGUAAAGCGCGCGUAGGUGGCUUGAUAAGCCGGUUGUGAAAGCCCCGGGCUCAACCUGGGAACGGCAUCCGGAACUGGCAAGCUAGAGUGCAGGAGAGGAAGGUAGAAUUCCCGGUGUAGCGGUGAAAUGCGUAGAGAUCGGGAGGAAUACCAGUGGCGAAGGCGGCCUUCUGGACUGACACUGACACUGAGGUGCGAAAGCGUGGGUAGCAAACAGGAUUAGAUACCCUAGUAGUC